UUCAUUUCUCAACUGCCCCGUAAUGACCAUCAACCUCUCACCUGGUCUUCCCACCAGGCUUCAUGGAGCAGCCUAAGAACCGACCACCCCACCUUGACCCCCGCCCAGCUGCACCAUCUGCUCAGCCACUAUCAGCUGGGCCCCGGCCGCGGGCCGCCAGCCGCGUGGGACCCUCCCCCUGCAGAGCGGGAGGCUGUGGACACAGGGGACAUCUUCGAAAGCUUCUCCUCGCACCCGCCCCUCAUCCUCCCCCUGGGGAGCUCGCGCCUGCGCCUCACUGGUCCAGUGACGGACGAUGCCUUGCACCGUGAACUCCGUAGGCUCCGCCGCCUCCUCUGGGAUCUUGAGCAGCAGGAGCUGCCAGCCAAUUAUCGCCAUGGGCCUCCCGUGGCCACGUCUCCUUGAGAACCAAUACCAAACGAGCGCGCGAACCUUGAAAUGUCACGGGCUUCUACUGACAGGAGCCCGCCUGAGCGCAGAGCUUUCUGGGAGUUGUAGUUCUUAUCCCGCGUGGAAUGUUGGGAGAUUGAGUUUUCGGGAAGUAGCGGAUGGGACGGUGGGAGCAUGGGCUUAGGAUGUGAAUGCCAGGGAGCAAUAAAGGUAUCCGUGGUAUCGGC
rnacentral:lncRNA from 1 species